AUUUGGUAUAUAUAAUUUAUAUUAUAUAUAUUAUAUAUUAUAUAUACCAAAUCUUCCUUUUUACUUGGUCAAAGCUCAAAGUAAAAAAAAUUAGUCUCAAGUGUAACUUAAGUGUAAGAAUUUGUGGUUUCGUCAUACUUGUUCCUAGUUAUGGUUAUACACUUUGUUGUAUUUCGCUCUGGAUAAGAGCAUCUGCCAAAUGCCUGUAAUGUAAUGUAAUGUAAUACUCCUACUCUCACAUUUAAGAAUAAAAGUGAUUUAUCAAAUUUCUCUUGACUUAAGAAUAUUCUUAACCUGUCAGGUAUUUAAGAGACCUCUGGGGCUGUCUUAAUUUGGCUCGGAGUAGGCAAGAUGGCAGAGCUGCGAAGACGGAGACGCGCACGCACCUUCCGAGACAGGAAGAAUGUUUUACAAAUGUUUGAUGAUGCACAGUUAAUCUAACGUUAUCGCUUAGAUCAUCAGGGAAUCAUCUUUGUCACCGAUCUUGUGCGGGAUGUAAUAUCACCAUCAACUUUGAGAAGUAUUGCAAUUACGGCAGAGAUGCAAGUCAUUUUAACGCUGCGCUUCCUAGCCACGGGGAAAAUGCAGUUAUGCAAUGCUGAUGAUUUGGGACCAUCACAACCCACCAUCAGCAGGGUAGUGGCAAAAACUGUGUCAGCCCUUGCAGCACCUCACAUAGUGAGGAGGUUUAUAGAAUUUCCAGCCUCUCCUCGGUUAAUCUGCCAGAAGCAAGCUGCAUUUAUGCAUCUAGCGGGCUUCCCGGGGGUGGUUGGAGUAAUUGAUGGCACCCACAUCCGUACAAUUGCUCCAAGCGUAGAUGAAGAGGCUUUUGUGAACGGGAAGAGGUGCCACAGCAUCAACACCCAGGUAGUCUUUGACGCAGAUUACAACAUUUUAGAUGUUAUGUCCGAGUGGCCAGGAUCUACCCAUGACGCACGCAUCCUGAAUGAAAGUGGAUUGCAACAGCUGUUUGACAGGAACAUUGUUCUACCCGGGUGCCAUCUCCUUGGAGGCUACCCACAAUGAUGCUGGCUUCUCACACCAUUCCCAAGACCACAACGAGGGGCCCAACAAAAUUACAACAGGUACAAAUUAACUAAGCCUAUGAAUUAUAAUAAUGAAUCAUCUCACCAUUACAGAGUUAUUUUUGACGGUCAUCUGAACAUAAUUGGACUUUUCAGCGCUCACCAAUGCACCCGAAGCGUUGUGGGGCAUCGGCCAAUGGAAACGCCGGUUCCAUGUCCUUCAUAGGGAAAUCCGCAAAACACCACAGAAGGCCAGCAAUAUUAUAAUGGCAUGUGUAGUCUCGUAUAACAUAUGCAAAAUGUGCAACAUUCCUCUCUCCCCUGAUGAGGGAGAUCAUAAUAAUGAUGAUGAUGAUGAUGAUGACGACCACCCUCCUAGCAUCCCAUUUGCCUCUGAUGCCACUGUUUAGGCAGCACUUUGCCAACUUUCAUUUUGGUGCAUCCAUGUCCUCCACCUCGUCCGGGUUGAGCCGUGGAGUGGCAGUGGCCAGUGGGGGCUCAGGGAGCAGGGGCUCUGGGCCUGCUGCUGGAGAGGGAAUGCCAGAUGGGCCUGGAUGCAGUGCUGUUGCAGCUGGGAGUUCCUCUACAGGCAGCUCAUGAGGGGACGAGAUGGUGUUUUCAUCUGCAUUACUGAAAAACAGAAUUCAUUUUAAGUUAGUUUAUUCUUGUGAAUAUGCAUUUGUAUCAAUAAAAUAAGUAUUGAGUA